rnacentral:tRNA from 1 species
UGGUUCAAUGGUAGAAUUCUUGUCUGCCACACAGGAGACCUGGGUUCAAUUCCUGG